CGUAAAGACGCAUGCAGGUGGUUUGUUUAAGUCAGAUGUGAAAGACCCGGGGCCGUCAACCUACCGGAAUUGUCAUUUAGUAAACUAGGCAGACUAGAGUACUGUAGGAGGGGGGUAGGAAUUUCUAGGUGUAGCGGUGAAAUGCGUAGAGAUCUAGAAGGAAUACCGGUGGCGAAGGCGGCCCCCCUCGGACAGAUACUGACACUCAGAUGCGAAAGCGUGGGGGAGCAAACAGGAUUAGAUACCCCUGGUAG
rnacentral:rRNA from 1 species